rnacentral:sRNA from 1 species
UAAUAACAUUGUGCGUUAGGGAUGGAAGCGGCAUCCUUUUGUGCAGCGCUAGCGGAACAAAAGAUAUAGCGUACAGCCCGACCCGCC